GACGAACGCUGGCGGCGUGCCUAACACAUGCAAGUCGAGCGCGAAAGGAGCAAUCCGAGUAGAGCGGCGCACGGGUGCGUAACACGUGGGUAAUCUGCCUCAGGGUUGAGGAUAACCUUCCGAAAGGUUGGCUAAUACUCGGUAAGCUUACGGUGACUUCGGUCGCUGUGAGAAAACUAGACCUCUAUUUAUAAGUUUAGGCCCAGAGAUGAGCCCGCGGCCCAUCAGCUAGUUGGCGGGGUAACGGCCCACAAAGGCAACGACGGGUAGCUGGUCUGAGAGGACGAUCAGCCACACUGGAACUGAGACACGGUCCAGACUCGUACGGGAGGCAGCAGUGGGGAAUUUUCCACAAUGGGCGAAAGCCUGAUGGAGCAACGCGGCGUGUGUGAUGAAGGUCUUCGGAUCGUAAAGCACUUUCGACCGGGACGAAAAACCUUUGGCUAACAUCUAGGGGCCUGACGGUACCGGGAGAAGAAGCACCGGCUAACUCUGUGCCAGCAGCCGCCGUAAUAC
rnacentral:rRNA from 1 species